rnacentral:rRNA from 1 species
UACAGAGGGUGCAAGCGUUAAUCGGAAUUACUGGGCGUAAAGCGUGCGUAGUCGGUUAUCUAAGUCGGGUGUGAAAUCCCCGGGCUCAACCUGGGAAUUGCAUUCGAUACUGGAUAGCUUGAGUUCGGGAGAGGGAAGCGGAAUUUCGGGUGUGAGCGGUGAAAUGCGCAGAUAUCCGAAGGAACACCGGUGGCGAAGGCGGCUUCCUGGACCGACACUGACGCUGAGGCGCGAAAGCUAGGGGAGCAAACGGG